rnacentral:lncRNA from 12 species
CCCGGCCUCCGGCUCCGCCCCCUCCCGGGGGACGAGGUCGCCGCGGAGACCGGCGCCCCGGUUCCCAUGACAACCGGUGCCCGGGGCCUCGCUUUUCGGGUUGUGGCCGAGCAGACGCUCUGGCAGAUCGCGGGGCUGCAAAAGUAAGGACUGUGAUGGGAACUUUGCCCAGAGGAGAAGCAGAAGCAAGAUAAGUAAUCUACCAAAACAUGAGCAGCUCAUCCUGUUAAAGAUCUGUUGUUACUGUUACAAGAUAUUGAGGGGGAAGAGUGAACCACAAUUCAAGCACCAUUUAGGUAAUUUGUUUCAUCCUGCCUCCUGCCACUUAGACUGUAAACAUUCAAGAAAAGAUGGGACAAUGGGAAGCUCCUCCCCCACCUCCCACUAGCCCUUGUCUACUUGUUUGGAAAGCCAUGUCUGUCAGUAUCCCAUUCUUGUCACCAAAAGUUGUCAAGUUAGCUUGCCAUAGUUUUGUAUAUGCUGGCGAAAGACAAGACUCCUAGGUCAGGAAAAAAAAAAAAGGACUUAUUACUCAUAGCAUAUCAGACAAGCAUGAGCCGCAUGAGCUUCUUGUUCAUGUCAUUUGUGCCCCUGAAAAUUUUACGGAGGUGAUGUGCGGUGGCCCAGGUGAGUGCCACACAAGCAGUGGGUUUGCAUCACAGUUGAAGGACCCUGAGCUUAGGAAACCCCAAUCAAUUAAGGGGGCUGCAAGAUAAGCUGCCCAACUUUUGCCCUGGAGGGAAACAUUAUCUUAAUUAUAACGUGCAGCAAACAAACCUGCCCUCUGCUCUAAAGAGAUAUACUCCUAUCUUCUUCCAAGGUUGUUCUUUGUACAGACAUCCUUGGAAAGGUAAUCCAGAAAAAAGAAAAAAGCCAGUUCGGCUCGCUGUGCAACCCAUGGCGAAUUGUAUCUCAACUAGUAGGUGCUAAGUAUGCUUCUUCUCUUUCUUUCUCUCUUAAAAUUUCCCUUUUGUAUUUCUUAUUUCCUCCUUUUUAUUUGUUUAUAAAUUUCAAUUUAACCCACUAAAAUUAUCUUUUACUGAUAGAUAUACUCAAAUUACAAAAGUCAGCAGAAAUAAAAAUCUGUCUUUAAACCUCUGAAAAUACGAU